rnacentral:rRNA from 1 species
UACAGAGACUGCAAGCGUUAUUCGGAUUCACUGGGCGUAAAGGGUGCGCAGGCGGCCAAGUGUGUUAGGCGUGAAAGCCCGGGGCUUAACCCCGGAAUUGCACCUAAAACUACAUGGCUAGAGCAUUGGAGAGGGUAGCGGAAUUCACGGUGUAGCAGUGAAAAUGCGUAGAUAUCGUGAGGAACACCAGAGGCGAAGGCGGCUACCUGGACAAUUGCUGACGCUCAGGCACGAAAGCGUGGGGAGCAAACAGG